rnacentral:tRNA from 1 species
GUCCUGAUAGUAUAAAAAUUACACUGGUCUUGUAAACCAGAAAUGGAAUCGCACUUUUCUCAGGAUA